GUUGUGUUGUUUUUUUUUGU
rnacentral:miRNA from 1 species